rnacentral:misc_RNA from 1 species
AGGUGUCUGUUGAGAAAGGAGGUGCCCGGUGCCUAUGCCUGGCUUCCCCCCCAUCCAUCGAGGAGGAUGGGUGAGCCAUCGGUGGCAUAGGCACACCCCGGUCGGCGGAUCGAUGAAAGGUUGUGGGUUUUUCGACGGUCGGAACCUUUCAUCGAUCCGCCGGCCACGGCCUGUGGGAAAGUAGUGCUCUGUUCGAUCUUUCUCGAGAGGAGAGGGACGGUUGAACUCGGAUUUUGGUCUUUCCAACGUACUUCACAGAAACGUGAGCGUGGCUUCGGCUGUGGGAUCGGAGUAAUGAGGAUACCGCGGUCGGGUCAAGGUGUGGGUUUUUUAACCUCUCGUUGGAGAUCGGCACUGUCACUAAUUUCUCAUUUGGCCGUUGGUGGAGAUUAUUCAAUCAAUGAAUAAGCUCCAUCAUGUCCCGUCGGAAAAAUUUUUCAAAUCCGUCGCAAAUUUUUUCAAAUGUUUUCACUUGGUCUGGUGGGCUUGUAUUGCUUUGGUUGCUCUCCUUCUUGGGAGGAUAGGGACGGUUCAUCUCGGAUUUUUGGUCUUUCCAACGUACUUCACAGAAACGUGAGCAUGGCUUCGGCUGUGGGAUCGGAGUAAUGAGGAUACCGCGGUCGGGUCAGGGUCUGGGUUUUUUAACCUCUCGUUGGAGAUCGGCCCUGUCCACUACUUUCUCACUUGGCCGUUGUCAUGUCCCGUCGCAAAGUUUUUSAAAUGUUUUCACUUGGUCAAGUGGGCUCGUAGUGCUCUGUUCGAUCUUUCUCGAGAGGAGAGGGACGGUUGAACUCGGAUUUUGGUCUUUCCAACGUACUUCACAGAAACGUGAGCAUGGCUUCGGCUGUGGGAUCGGAGUAAUGAGGAUACCGCGGUCGGGUCAGGGUCAGGGUUUUUUAACCUCUCGUUGGAGAUCGGCCCUGUCCACUACUUUCUCACUUGGCCGUUGUCAUGUCCCGUCGCAAAGUUUUUCAAAUGUUUUCAGAUUAUUCAUUAUUUUCCACAUCACAACAUCCCGAAAAAAAUGCGGAAGAACUAGCAUGCUUCGGCUUGUGCUAACUUGAUGCAUCAAAAGGUUUGUUGCGGUGGGUUGGGGGUAAUGGAGAAUCAUUUGGUUUUGAAACAAACAAGAAAAAAAAAAAUGGUUUCCUUGUCCCUUGAAGGUUUUUGUCCCUCGGAUUGUGUGUUUCUUCGCGUGAAGCGGUGCUGGUGUGGUCUUGCUUGAUGUUUCCGCAUGCUCAGCGGUUCUAGUAACCGUUGGGUUGUGGUUCGUUUGGUUGGGUCAUCAUCAAGUGUACGCAACUCACGUGUGAGUGGUGGUUGGAUUGCAUGGGUCUGCAAGCUCCUUGCUCAGCGCAACGAAUUGCAAGCUCUCUAUCCUUUUCAUAGUCCUUCUCCAAGCAUGGUCAUUUGCCUUGUGGGUAAGAUCGGUAUCCUGUGCGUUUUGCCAAUUGAAUGGAACUCGAUAGUUUUCAUUUCUCUAUUCGGCCGGUUCCCUUAGGGGUGUUGGGUGGACGAUAGGCCGACCUCGUGUUCCAGGUACAUCUCGCAUUUUUGCGUGGUUACCAUGGCCCAUGGGGUUGUGCUUGUUCUCUUGGAUGCGGAUCGUUAGUUGUGGGCGAGGGGUUACGACCUCCAUUCGUCCAAUCUAAUAUGCAUUUGUCAAUCGACACGAACGACUGCUGCACUUGUCUUGGCUUUUACGGUUGAAUGGCCGUACAAUGUCCAUGCGAGUGUCGGUGUCGUGAAGGAAUGC